UUUGUUUUAUUGAUCUUGACUGGUUUUGUAGUCUUAGCAUUUGUUUGCUAGGGUUUUUAAUUGGUCAAAUGAAUUGAUGAGAUGAAAUGUUAUGGGAUGAAUUGGAUGAUAGAAUAACUUUGCUUUGCUAUUAAUUUAGACAUCUUUGACAAUUACAUUCGAGUUUCGAUUAGUUUUUUUUUAUAACUUUUAUUUCUGCUUAUAUUUUUAUUGGUUUAUAGAGUGAUAGCAGCAGGUUAAUCUGCUCACCAGAAUGGAUAGACAAUGUGAAGAGUACUGCAUUUAGUAGUUCUUUUUUUCUUUUUCUUUUUUCAAUAGACGAGAAUGAGACUGAAUUCAUUUUACUGUUUUGUACGGAGCACAAGUUCCUUUGAGCGCAGAUGUAUCUUAGCCAUUGGAUUCUGAAAACUAAUUACUAAAACGUAUUAAAAAAUGAUAGACAAUGUUUAUCCGAUGGCUCUUGAAUGGGGUGUUAUACGAGACAGAUCCUUAGAGUUAUGUAUGAUAUGCAUCCUGUGUAUGCUUUGGAUGAAGUGGGUUUGCUUUCUAUGUGGACUUGUUGUUAUUGUUGAUAAGUAAUACUAAUGAUUUUUAAACAGAAUUGAGUUCAUUAUCAGGACAGAAUCCUAAUGAUGAAGUUGAGGUAUAUAAUUUGUUUGAUACUAGUUUUUGGAUGAGUAAAUUUUCAUUCUAGAAAGAAGCAAUGCUAAACCUACUGCUAUGGCUGAAAUGGGUGUGCAUUUGAUACAAAUCUCAGUCAAAUAAUCUUAAGAAAAGAGUAAACUGUUGAAGCUAUUAACAGAAAACUGAGAAACAAAGUGUUGCAUUAUAACCAUCCAAGCAGAGUUGCAAAGAUUGGAUUCUUGUUAACUUCAUAUACUGCCCCUUCUGAGCUUCAUUUGUGAUGAAAAUGUUGAUUUUCUUAAUAGUAGGAUGAUGUCAUAUGCCUUCUGUCUGGUCCGGCAGGGCUAUGUAAUUUCUCUGAGAAGAAUCGUGAUGCUGCUCUUUCAUUUGAUUUCCGUUUCCGGAGGAUGCGGGUAGCUGUGACCAAUGAAGAUAAGGUGAUUGAUUCGCUGAUAAUCGGACACCUGUCAAUGCAGGUAUGGAGGUGGAUAUUUGGUCCUUGGAUCCAUCUAGUCGAGUGAUGGGGCUUAUAGAUGUGCGUGCCACGUACCCAUCACGCUUUCGGAGUCGAAACUUACCCUCUCGAUGCAAGCAUCUUUGAUUUAUUGAAAAUGCAGAUAAAAAUCUGCCCAUAUUCAGCGGUGUUUCCGCCUUUCCCAUUCCUCCAUCCACCAUCUGUGUCCCACCAACAUUCAAUCUUGAGGGGGAGACAGCCACUAGUCUAGCCGUCAACUUCUGCCCGACUCCACAGUAUUCUGUCCCAGACAUUCGUACUUAUCAACCAUGAUCUUUCUUAAAAUCCAUCACGGUGCACUGAGAAGCUUGACCUGGUGAAAGUGACUUGUUUUCUUUUACUAUACAUGAAUUUAAACUUUGAUAUGCAUGUCUAUCACCCUGUGGUGUCUUACUUGUCUCUUGGAUUUGCAAGGUAUUCAGUGAGCCGUGAAGAUUAGUCGUAGUGCACGCAAGCUGGCCAGGAUACUCCACGUAAAUAAAAAAAAAAAU